CCGUUAUGGCGACGCGGAGGGAUCAUUACCGAGUUUACAACUCCCAAACCCCAAUGUGAACGUUACCAAUCUGUUGCCUCGGCGGGAUUCUCUUGCCCCGGGCGCGUCGCAGCCCCGGAUCCCAUGGCGCCCGCCGGAGGACCAACUCCAAACUCUUUUUUUCUCUCCGUCGCGGCUCCCGUCGCGGCUCUGUUUUAUUUUUGCUCUGAGCCUUUCUCGGCGACCCUAGCGGGCGUCUCGAAAAUGAAUCAAAACUUUCAACAACGGAUCUCUUGGUUCUGGCAUCGAUGAAGAACGCAGCGAAAUGCGAUAAGUAAUGUGAAUUGCAGAAUUCAGUGAAUCAUCGAAUCUUUGAACGCACAUUGCGCCCGCCAGUAUUCUGGCGGGCAUGCCUGUCCGAGCGUCAUUUCAACCCUCGAACCCCUCCGGGGGGUCGGCGUUGGGGAUCGGCCCCUCACCGGGCCGCCCCCGAAAUACAGUGGCGGUCUCGCCGCAGCCUCUCCUGCGCAGUAGUUUGCACACUCGCACCGGGAGCGCGGCGCGGCCACAGCCGUAAAACACCCCAAACUUCUGAAAUGUUGACCUCGGAUCAGGUAGGAAUACCCGCUGAACUUAAGCAUAUCAAUAAGUCAGGAGGA
rnacentral:rRNA from 1 species